AACCACGACCCUGCAGCUGAGAGAGAAGCCCCAGGCCCAGGAUCCCCAGGUGACCCCGUUCGGGAUCAGGACAGAACAAAGACGACUAAACAUGAAAUCUUUGCUCAGCUGGGUUUUCCUUCUGGCUAUUUUAAAAGGUGCCCAGGGUGAGGUGCAGCUGGUGGAGUCUGGGGGAGACCUGAUGAAGCCUGGGGGGUCCCUGAGACUCUCCUGUGUGGCCUCCGGAUUCACCAUCAGUAGCAACUACAUGAACUGGGUCCGCCAGGCUCCAGGGAAGGGGCUGCAGUGGGUCGGAUACAUUAGCAGUGAUGGAAGUAGCACAAGCUAUGCAGACGCUGUGAAGGGCCGAUUCACCAUCUCCAGAGACAAUGCCAAGAACACGCUGUAUCUGCAGAUGAACAGCCUGAGAGCCGAGGACACGGCCGUGUAUUACUGUGUGAAGGGACACAAUGAGGGGACCUCAGUGUGAGCCCAGACACAAACC